rnacentral:rRNA from 1 species
GACGAACGCUGGCGGCGUGCUUAACACAUGCAAGUCGAACGGAAAGACCCUGCUUUUGUGGGGUGCUCGAGUGGCGAACGGGUGAGUAACACGUGAGUAACCUGCCCUUGACUUUGGGAUAACUUCAGGAAACUGGGGCUAAUACCGGAUAGGAGCUCCUGCUGCAUGGUGGGGGUUGGAAAGUUUCGGCGGUUGGGGAUGGACUCGCGGCUUAUCAGCUUGUUGGUGGGGUAGUGGCUUACCAAGGCUUUGACGGGUAGCCGGCCUGAGAGGGUGAACGGCCACAUUGGGACUGAGAUACGGCCCAGACUCGUACGGGAGGCAGCAGUGGGGAAUAUUGCACAAUGGGCGGAAGCCUGAUGCAGCAACGCCGCGUGCGGGAUGACGGCCUUCGGGUUGUAAACCGCUUUCGCCUGUGACGAAGCGUGAGUGACGGUAAUGGGUAAAGAAGCACCGGCUAACUACGUG